rnacentral:tRNA from 1 species
UCCGGAGUAGCUCAGUUGGUAGAGCGAGUGACUGUUAAUCACCAGGUCGGGGGUUCGAGUCCCUCCUCCGGAGC